UGAAUACGAGAUGCUACGGCGUCGAAGCAGUCUAUGUCAUACUUCCAAGAAAAGCUCGCACUGUCAUAAACAAAUAAUGCCUGUACCAUAACCGACACAGGUGGGUAGGUAGAGUAUACUAAGGGGCGCGAGAUAACUCUCUCUAAGGAACUCGGCAAAAUGACUCCGUAACUUCGGGAGAAGGAGUGCCUUAUUUAUAAGGUUGCAAUAACAAGAUCCAAGCAACUGUUUAUCAAAAACACAGGUCUCCGCUAAGUCGUAAGACGAUGUAUGGGGGCUGACGCCUGCCUAGUGCCAGAAGGUUAAAGAAGUUGGUUAGCAUUCGCGAAGCUGAUAACUGAAGCCCUGGUGAACGGCGGCCGUAACAAUAACGGUCCUAAGGUAGCGAAAUUCCUUGUCGGGUAAGUUCCGACCCGCACGAAAGGCGUAAUGAUUUGGAUACUGUCUCGGAGAGGGGCUCGGUGAAAUAGACUUGUCUGUGAAGAUGCGGACUACCUGCACCAGGACAGAAAGACCCUAUGAAGCUUUACUGUAACUUGAGAUUGAAAUUGGACUUUACUUGCGCAGUAUAGGUGGGAGGCGUUGAUAAUAUUCUUGCGGGAUUAUUUGAGCCAUCAGUGAGAUACCACUCUUGUAAUGUUAGAUUUCUAACUUUGUAUCAUUAUCUGGUCAAAGGACAGUUUCAGGCGGGCAGUUUGACUGGGGCGGUCGCCUCCUAAACGGUAACGGAGGCGCACAAAGGUUUCCUCUGAACGGGUAGAAAUCGUAUCUAGAGUGUAAAGGCAUAAGGAAGCUUGACUGUGAGACCUACAAGUCGAGCAGGGACGAAAGUCGGUCUUAGUGAUCUGACGGUGCUGAGUGGAAAGGCCGUCACUCAACGGAUAAAAGUUACUCUAGGAUAACAGGCUGAUCUCCCCCAAGAGUUCACAUCGACGGGGAGGUUUGGCACCUCGAUGUCGGCUCAUCGCAUCCUGGGGCGGUAGUACGUCCCAAGGGUUGGGCUGUUCGCCCAUGAAAGCGGUACGCGAGCUGGGUUCAGAACGUCGUGAGACAGUUCGGUCCAUAUCCGGUGUAGGCGUUAGAAUAUUGAGAGGAGCCUUCUUUAGUACGAGAGGACCGAGAAGGACAUACCUCUGGUGUACCAGUUAUCGUGCCAACGGUAAACGCUGGGUAGCUAUGUAUGGAGUGGAUAACCGCUGAAAGCAUCUAAGUGGGAAGCCCACCUCAAGAUAAGUAUUCUC
rnacentral:rRNA from 1 species